rnacentral:rRNA from 1 species
UUAAGGCAUCUUGUUAUAGUUUGUAGAUUACAUAAGAAUUGUAUGAAAAAGAUUUUUAUUAAUGUAUUUAAAGUAAUUAUAAGUGAAAUAUUAUAUAAACUAUAGUUUAUAGUACUGUAAAGGAAAGGAAAAAUUAAUAACAAAUAAGUAAAAAUAUAAUUUUGUACCUUGUGUAUCAGGGAAAAUUUAUAUAUAUUAAAAAAUUAAAAGUCUCGAAAUAAAAAUAGCUAAUUUUAUAAUAGAGUUUUUAUAGGAUAUAAAUUUUGAAUAUAAAAUUAAAGAUGAAAUGUUAUUCGAGUUUUAUGAUAUCUAGUUUCUUAGGAUAUAAAUAUAAUUUAAUUUUUGUAGAAAUAAGCUAUAAAAGAUAAGAAUAGGAGGGAUUAGCUUCUUAUUAAUUAAAAUUAAUAAAAUUAAAUAAAAAGAAAAAAUUAAACUAAGCUUAAAAGUAGCUAUGUUAAUAAAGUGUUUUAACUAAAAUUUAUAGUGAUUUUUGUUUAUGAAAAUUUUAAAAAAUACUAGGAAUUUAUUUAUAGUAAGAUUAAAUAGGGUAUAAUGAUUUUAUUAGUAGAAGUUAAAGUGAAAAAAAUUAUUUGAAUAGAAAAAAAAUAUAAAUGAAUAAAAGGUAAUUUACAGGAAUUCAGCAAAAUACUUCUUUGCCUGUUUAUCAAAAACAUGUCUAUUUGUCAAUAUAAAAAGUCUAACCUGCCCACUGAUAGUUAUAAAUUUAAGGGCCGCGGUAUUAUGACUGUGCAAAGGUAGCAUAAUCAUUAGGUUUUUAAAUGGAAUCUUGUAUGAAUGGUUGGACAAGAGAGAAACUGUCUUUACAUUAGAAUUUGAAUUUAACUUUUAAGUGAGAAGGCUUAAAUAACCUAGGGGGACGAUAAGACCCUAUAAAAUUUUACAUUAUAAUUAUAUUUUAUAGAAUUUGGGUAAUAAAAAUUUAUUUAAUUAUUUUGUUUUGUUGGGGCGACAAAAGUAAAAAUUAUACUAACUGCUUUGUAUAAAACCAAUUAUAAGUGAGUAACCAAAACAAUGAUCCUAAUUAUUGAUUUAAAGAUUAAGUUACUUUAGGGAUAACAGUGUAAUUUUUUUUGAGAGUCCAUAUCGAAAAAAAAGUUUGCAACCUCGAUGUUGAAUUAAAAUAUCUAUAUAAUGCAGCUGUUAUAUAAGAAGGUCUGUUCGACCU